CGACACUCCCACAACAGCCUCUGAUUUUCCCUCCUUAUAGAUACUUCCCUCAUUUCUCAUCUCCCUAUAGAAAUCAACUGUACUCCCCAUAUGGAUUCCCGAUGAUUCUUGAAUCACUUCUUCCACAAACUCCAGCAAAUCAACCCCGGAACAGUCCGGCCUUACCCGCAGAAACACCUUCAGAUGCAG